UAAAAGAAUGAGGUAAAAGCUCUUGCUUUCAACAAUUCAUCACUGUCUCCAAUGGCUACAUAAAAUUUUUAUCUACAAACUUUGUAAUUCUUUAUUAUCAAGUUCUCACCAUCAGUGUUGUGAAAAAUUUCUUCUGUCUGUUUCAAUUCAAACCGUUAUCGUCUUUCAUUACCACUUUGUAUGACGCCACUACGUCUAUCUAUCGACCAACUUUGUAUCACUUCCAAUCGGAUUUACAAGAAUUGAUUUGUCGGAUAAAUAUUAGUCGUUAAUAUUGUCAUCGGUUUUCCUUUGCUGUUAUCACAAAUAAUAAAAUGUGAGUCAUUGAAAACUAGUUAGAUAAUGAAUAAUUAAACAACUACAGCUCGAAUGUUGUUACGUGAAAAUGUUAUGUUUAAAAAAAUUUUGUAUAAUAUUUAAUUGCAACGUUUUUUGUAAAUUUAAAAAAAAAAUGUAAUAUUUGAUAUUUUUUAAAAUUUUGAUUCAAUGAGACCUCGCGUGUAGACGGAAGUCGUUGGAAAAAGAGUGAAAACUCUAGACUUCAAAAUGUGAAACAUCAAGGAACUUUUUUUGAACGUUUACGAAAUUUUUGACAGUUCGAAGAAAAAAUUGAUGGAUGCUAAAAAAAAGUUCGUCAUUGUGUCACAUUUUGACGUUCAAAAUAGUCAGCGUUUUUAAAACGAUUUUUUGAUAUGGGUACUAAUUGGAUAAAAGUUUACUAAUUAAUCUAACAUCUCAUACAUGAGAAAAAAAAAAAUGUUUUCAAAUAAUAAUUUUAGGAUCUUUUCUGAUUAUAAAAUUCAAAGUACAUUUGAAACUGUAUAAUUUACUACUGAGAGUAAAAUCAUUAUUUAAAAAUGUAUUUUUUUUUUUAAAUUUCUAAUAUGGAAC